AACGCUGGCGGCGCGCCUAACACAUGCAAGUCGAACGAGAAAGGUCCUUCGGGACUGAGUACAGUGGCGCACGGGUGAGUAACACGUGGAUAUCUACCCUCAAGUGGGGAAUAACUUUGGGAAACCGGGGCUAAUACCGCAUAAGUCCGAGAGGAGAAAGCGUAAAGCGCUUGAGGAGGAGUCCGCGGCCGAUUAGCUAGUUGGUGGGGUAAAGGCUCACCAAGGCAAAGAUCGGUAGCCGGCCUGAGAGGGCACACGGCCACACUGGCACUGAGACACGGGCCAGACUCCUACGGGAGGCAGCAGUGGGGAAUCUUGCACAAUGGAGGAAACUCUGAUGCAGCGACGCCGCGUGAGCGAAGAAGCCUUUCGGGGUGUAAAGCUCUUACGCCAGGGACGAUAGUGACGGUACCUGGAGAAGCAGCUGCGGCUAACUACGUGCCAGCAGCCGCGGUAAUACGUAGGCAGCAAGCGUUGUUCGGAAUUACUGGGCGUAAAGGGUGCGUAGGCGGUGUACUAAGUUUGGUGUGAAAUCUCCCGGCUCAACUGGGAGGGUGCGCCAAAAACUGGGACACUUGAGUGUGGGAGAGGAAAGCGGAAUUCCUGGUGUAGCGGUGAAAUGCGUAGAGAUCAGGAGGAACACCUGCGGUGUAGACGGCUUUCUGGACCAUAACUGACGCUGAGGCACGAAAGCGUGGGUAGCAAACAGGAUUAGAUACCCCUUGGUAGUCCACGCCCUAAACGAUGCAUACUUGGUGUGGGUUUUUCACUGGAUCCGUGCCGGAGCUAACGCGUUAAGUAUGCCGCCUGGGGAGUACGGUCGCAAGGCUGAAACUCAAAGGAAUUGACGGGGGCCCGCACAAGCGGUGGAGCAUGUGGUUUAAUUCGACGCAACGCGAAGAACCUUACCUGGGCUCGAACGGUUGACGAUGCCCGCUAGAAAUAGUGGGGUUUCCUUCGGGAACGGCAAUCGAGGUGCUGCAUGGCUGUCGUCAGCUCGUGUCGUGAGAUGUUGGGUUAAGUCCCGCAACGAGCGCAACCCUUGUCCUGUGUUGCUAAUCUUCGGAUGCACUCUCAGGAGACCGCCAGCGACAAGCUGGAGGAAGGUGGGGAUGACGUCAAGUCAGCAUGGCCUUUAUGUCCAGGGCUACACACGUACUACAAUGGACAGGACAACGCGUCGCGAACCCGCGAGGGGGAGCUAAUCGUAUAAACCUGUUCUCAGUUCGGAUUGCAGGCUGCAACUCGCCUGCAUGAAGCUGGAAUCGCUAGUAAUGGCAGAUCAGCAUGCUGCCGUGAAUACGUUCCCGGGCCUUGUACACACCGCCCGUCACAUCACGAAAGUGGAUUGUACUAGAAGUUCGCAGACCAACCGCAAGGAGGUAGCGACCCAAGGUAUGAUUCAUGAUUGGGGUGAAG
rnacentral:rRNA from 1 species